rnacentral:rRNA from 1 species
UACGUAGGGUGCAAGCGUUGUCCGGAAUUAUUGGGCGUAAAGAGCUCGUAGGCGGUUUGUCGCGUCUGCUGUGAAAACCUCAGGCUCAACCUGGGGCUUGCAGUGGGUACGGGCAGACUAGAGUGCGGUAGGGGGUGACUGGAAUUCCUGGUGUAGCGGUGGAAUGCGCAGAUAUCAGGAGGAACACCGAUGGCGAAGGCAGAUCUCUGGGCCGUAACUGACGCUGGAGGAGCGAAAGCGUGGGGAGCGAACAGG